UUGACCUCGGAUCAGGUAGGAAUACCCGCUGAACUUAAGCAUAUCAAUAAGCGGAAGA
rnacentral:rRNA from 1 species